rnacentral:tRNA from 1 species
GGGGAUGUGGCGGAAUGGCAGACGCGCUUGGUUGAGGGCCAAGUGCCCGCAAGGGCAUGAGAGUUCAACUCUCUCCAUCCCCACCA